rnacentral:lncRNA from 1 species
AGAGUUUCACCCUAAGAAGAAAGGGGAAGCAGGUGGAAAAGCAAUUAAAAAAAAAUCAGCAUCUCUCUCUAGCCUAUUAUCUCCUGUUAGACACAGCCCAGAAAAUGAAUAGAGACAAGUCCUGGCUGGGUCUGGGUUCAGAAACAUAAUAGAAGGAUUCAUCUAAUGAUAACACGCAAGGAAAUAUGGGCCAACUCUUCACAUGAACACAAGAUAUUUCCAUGCUAGCCUUUUGCAAGUAACAACAGAGAGAGCUCUGUGCAGUUUUCACUGGAAUGCCUGUGGAUUGCUUGUGUCAUAACUGUAAUCUAAAGAGUUGUCCAUUUGUUGAUUCCUUUGUAUUUGUAUUGGUAGAAUUGCCACUAUCAAACCAAGAUCUUUAGCUGCCUUUGUAUCA